rnacentral:tmRNA from 1 species
GGGGCUGACCGGUUUUGACAGCGUGUAGAGGUGGUGUGUAAGCGUGCAGAGCAAUGAUGCCCGCAACUCUCUAAACUGCGGUAUCACACAAUUUUAAAUGGCGAAAACAACUACGCUCUCGCUGCCUGAUCGAAGUACAGUAGAUUAGCUUUAUCCCUGCAACAGUUGCAGAGACGAGACAUCGCCCGAUUGUCCUUUUUCCGAGACUAAUCGACAAGGUGGUGCAGAAAUAUCGGGAAUAGCCGGAGAAGAGUUCCGAUUCUCAGGCGAAAAUAAAGGGACUAAGGGGCAGAUUGGUCGUCCCGGCCUGUCCGUCCACAAAAAUCAACCGGAGACUACGCACGUAGAAAGCACAUUAGUUCCGCGUUUGGACGAGGGUUCAAUCCCCUCCAGCUCCACCC